rnacentral:lncRNA from 1 species
CAGUUUGAGAGAGCCCUCUACUUCUGCCCAAGGCAAAAGAGGAAGAAACAGCUUAAUUGGAGCUGCAGCCUUUUUACUAAUGCAAGAAGCAUCUUCCUGCAGUCUUUAGAUCGUAGAUUUGGAACUGUAAAGGAUUUUGGAGUUCAGUGGGUCCAACCUCUUCAUUUUACAGAUGAGAAAAUUGAGGAUUAAAGAGGGAUUAAGCAACUUGUCUAAAGUGGCCCAGCUAGGUUGUUCUGAGAAUUGGAUGAAGCAAGAAUGGGAUACGAAUGGGGAAAGCUAUAUAAAAAGUGCCUAUGGGGGUCCCUCCUAA